rnacentral:rRNA from 1 species
GUGGGGAAUAUUGCGCAAUGGGGGAAACCCUGACGCAGCGACGCCGUGUGAGGGAAGAAGGCUUUCGGGUCGUAAACCUCUGUCAGAAAGGAAGAACCUCCCAAGUCCGAAUAGGGCUUGGGACUGACGGUACUUUCAAAGGAAGCACCGGCUAACUCCGUGCCAGCAGCCGCGGUAAUACGGAGGGUGCAAGCGUUAAUCGGAAUCACUGGGCGUAAAGCGCGCGUAGGCCGCUUUGUAAGUCGGACGUGAAAGCCCUCGGCUCAACCGGGGAACUGCGUUCGAUACUGCGAGGCUUGAGUCCUGGAGAGGGUGGCGGAAUUCCGGGUGUAGGAGUGAAAUCCGUAGAUAUCCGGAGGAACACCGGUGGCGAAGGCGGCCACCUGGACAGGUACUGACGCUGGGGCGCGAAAGCGUGGGGAGCAAACAGGAUUAGAAACCCGUGUAGUCC